rnacentral:lncRNA from 1 species
AACAAUUAACACCUUAGGUUAAGGCCAAGAGCCUCUCGCGCCCACGAUGAAUGGGGGGGGGGGACUUUGGCCGAAGAAUCUCCGAUGCCAAAGUUAGAAUUUAGAGAGAAAGAGUGUUUAGAGAAUUUUGGGAUUUUUGCCAAAGUGUUGGAAUUAGUUUUUGGUGAAAAUAGGAACCUAUUUAUAGGGUUAGGCUUGUCCAUUUUUUGAGAAGAAAAGGCCGGCCUUAAUGGGGAUUUUUAGGUUGAAAUUUUGGUUUAAUUAGCCAAUUUAUUGGCUAAUUAACCCUAAAGGAAUAAAUUAGUGGUUACCAAAUUGAUUAAUUUGCAUAAAUGGGAUAAUAAAGAGGGAAAAUGGAAAAAGAUAAAGAGAAAGGAUGGUGACCGGUUUUGACUAGCUUUAGGGUUGAAUUGGAUGUAUUUUGUGGUUAAUUGGGUGAUAAAUUUGGUGAUUAAUGAAUUAAUUAGGAAUUAAUUCAUUAAUUAGCCAAUUAAUCUCUAUUUUAUGGGAUAACUUAUAGGUUGUGAAGUAAUUACCUAUAAUGAGGAUGGAUGAGAUAAAUUGAAAUUGGUUACCUUUUUUGGACCAUUUUUGACUUGGUUGAGGAUGAUUGUCCGCCGCUCGCGCGUAGGAAUUUCGGUAUGCCUCAAGGGUAUUUUUGUCCUCUUUUACCCAAAAAUCCACGUGUCGCCUUGUGAUUAUUUUUGGCUCCACAAAUGCCCCCACACAUGUUGGGCUGCUCGCAGGAAAGGGCAGCAGGUGUAGAGAUUUCCUUGCUUUUAGGAAACUUAGGACUGCUUCCUGUUUUGAUGUAGAUUCUCUCUUUAAUAAGAAAUUAGAUCCUUCUAGGAAAGGGAAAUAAAUUUCUCUCAAAGCCUAUUUAAGUCCACCUUAAGUGGGUUGUUAAAUCAACUUUGGAGAGCGAUUUAUUCUACCCUACAAGAGAGAGAGAGCUUAGAGGAUAUUUGUUCCCCCUUCUCUAGCAAUCUUCCACAUCCUGUCCGUGCAAAAGACCGUCUUUCGUUGAUUUCUUCGUCUUCUCCGUGCUGCACCGAUGUAAGAAAAAUUUAAUUUUUUCUUGUCUUCUUCUUGGAUAGUGCUAUUGUGGGGCAGUCAUCUGGGUGGUGCGGCACGUCGGCUGGCAGGGGCCAGGAGUCGGCUCGGCAUGGGCCGAUGAGGCAUCGUGGCAGGGACCACUGCUUUAAGCUGCUGACUUGGCUAGAACCAAGGGCAGCUUGUGUGACUGGGCCUCGGAUGUGGCGCUGGGGCGCAGUGCUAGGCAAGUCACAUGGCUCAUGUCCUUUUAGGCUUUUGGACAUAACGCGAGCUAGGCCGAUGAUUGAGAGAAAUGAAGAGGUUGCGGACCUCAUGAGCUGCUGAAAUGUUGGGUUGAACUCCCCUGCUAGGUACCACGAAUGACGUUGGCUACUUUAACUCUCUUCGUCAGGAGAAACGUUGGCUGCUCCCGAAAGAGGAGGUGAAUAGGAUCAAAGCGGAUACAUUGGCUCGUCCAAUCAUUGUUGUGGAUCCUGCUGCAAGUGAAGGUGGGAAAAUAGAUCUUCUCUGCUUGCUCAAGAGAUGCCAGCUGAGAAAAAAACCAAAGACUUCUUUCACUGCUCGCGCUGGUUCGCCGACUGCCUCCAGGCUGGAGCAGUCGGGGGUGAUGCCACUGCUAAGAGCUUCGUGGUUGCUGAAGGUGUAAACCGAAUAGUCGUGGGAUGUCCAGGAUGCUAAAGUGUAGUCAUCUAGGUAGCCUUUAAGAUUUUCUUUGUUUUUCCUUGUAGCUCUUGUUUUGCUUGAACUCCUUCGGCCUUUGCUAGUUGUUUAUAAACAUGUUUUCCUUCUUUUUUCUUCAUCUUCACUUCUUUUGUUCAUGCCCUAACCUUUAGACUUGAUAGACCAGUGGCAGGCAUGCUACUAUUUUAUCAGCAUACAAGCUCGCGUAGCCUAUGCAGCCGUAGGUGUUGGUGUAGAACUUUGUAAAGUUGUUAGCCAUAGGGUUUGCAGCCGGAUGCCUUACUUACAGAAGCAGACAAGUCCGCGUAACCACUAGGUUGUUAACCUUGACUUUCUUCAAUUCCGUAGGUUGCGUAGCAAGUAUCACAACACUUUAGGACUUGGUGUAGGUUGUUCCGCGCUUGGCAGAUGUGAAGCUUAUCGACUAUGUAGCAUGUCGGCAGUGGAUAAAACUUCGUAUAUGCACGCUAGCUUGUUUAACCUUUCACAAGAAUGUGCGGUUGCAUAAGUCUAAUGCGGCUUUACUGCUCGAAGGGCAAGCCGUAGGCAGUCUUCCGGAAUCCGUAGGCUACCUUAGUGCACUCGGUAGCAGCUUUAGGAUUCCAGGGCAGCCGUCCAUCGAAUGUACUGCGUAAUGUGCCCUCUCCGUCUCUAGGGCCCGGUUCCCCACGGAUUAGGCCAAGAGACCCAAAAUCCUUCAGUUAGCUAAGCCUUGAAAAAGACCAUUGCGGCUACUUCUAGGAAUCCCGGUGCAAGCCAUCGUGCAUCUAGUUAUACUAGGGCAGCCAGGCUCAUCCACGUCUGGAUAUUCGGAGUGUAAAGUUUAUCCUCCCGUCUUGGAGAGCUGACCCAUAUGGGCGUCGGGGAAUUGGUUUACCCUCUCGCACUGGAGAGCAAUUAGUUUACCCUCUCGCACUGGAGAGCAUGGUUGGUCCCUCGGGGGGCGCAAUUCCUGCGAUGGGUCCCUAAGAAGGGCGCAGUCUUCUUUUGAAGUGCCGGAGUGAUCAGUUGUUAUAAGCAUGCAGCCGAGCCAAGUUGUGAUUACUUCUGAAUUCCUCAUUGAAAAACGAGUGAAACGAACGAAAACUUAGCUGUAAGGUAGGAACUGCAUAACAACUGGAUAGUCCUCGACUUGUGAGGUGGUGCCCGUCGAGCUUCUUGAGUCUUCGGGCUUUGAUUUAGUGGGAGGUCACACAUGGUACUUCUUCAGAUUGUAGGCGCUCCACUACUUUUCGAUCUUUUUACCGUUUCAUGGUAGCGGGGGUAUAAUUACUCUUGCCGCCUAUUCUGCUGAGCUUGUACAGACCUUCCCAGAUGAGAUCCAUCUUUUUGGAUGUUUCGGCCUGCCUAUUGCCUUGAGGAUAUCUCGGCAUGGACAUAUGCUGCUUGAUGCCAUAUUUUUGGAAGAACUUCGCCAAAUCUUUGCCCAUGAAUUGCAGGCCGUUGUUGGUGACGAUAGAUUAAGGGAUGCCAAAUCGGUAAAUGAUGUUCCUCCAUAUGAAGCGCUCUAUGUCCGUCUAAAUCGUGGUCGUCAUGGGCUCUGCUUCCACCUAUUUGGUGAAGCAGUCGGUUGCCACGAACCACGGCUGCUCGCGAGCCUUUGUAGUUGGAUGCGCCGUUGACAUACGAAUGCCAGAAAUCUCCAUUGAGGGAAUAUGUGCGGCUAAAGUGUGAUCGACUGCCUUCGGGGCAUCGUUGGGUCGAGUUGUUACGUUCGUCAGAAAACUUUGCAUCUGCCAGGGUCUACGCCUUUAUCGUCGCCAGUUUGGAUUCGGCGGAAUAGUGCGUCAUGAUGAUGACUACAGGUAACUGUAGAAUACAGGUAGUUGGGCCCCCAGCUCUUCUCGCAUGAUGGUAGAGCUUAUUGCUACUUUAAAUACCGUCAAACAUGCGAAUAAGUCAUCCGCUGCUUCUAGGGAAGUGAUGUCGGGUACUUCUUCAAGUCCUUGAAUAUGUAUUGGCGAGCCUCAUCCCAAAGUGCAUGCUUCUCUGCUAAAGCAAAAGAGUCUGCCAGAGUUAGAUCUUCUUUCAUGAUCAAUUUUCUGAAUAGCGGGUGGUCUGCUGGAAUUCCUUUUUGGAAGGCUGCUCUAGCUAUCGAGUCGUUGCAUCCGACUAUUUUUGCCUUCUCUACUUUGAACCUCCUCACAUAGUCGCGAAGCGACUCCUUUGGGUUCUUCUUGACGUCGAACAAAUGGUCAGACUUCUUUUUGAUCGAGCGAUAGGAUGAAUAUUCUUUGGUGAAAACCAAAGAAAGUUCGUAGAAAUUCCGAAUGGAUUGUGGCGGCAGGGUGUAGAACCAAUCUUGCGCUUCGCCUUGUAGAGUGGUGACGAAUAUCUUGCACAUGAGAUCAUCGUUGUUUCGAUAAAGGAUCAUUGCACUUUGGUAACGUUUUAAGUGUCUCUUCAGGUCUUCAUCCCCGUUGAAAGAUGUGAAAUGUGGCAAGCUGAACUCGCGUGGAGGCUCUGCCUGCUCGAUCUCCUCCGUGAAGGGUGACCUGCUUAUGUUGGUUAUGUUCCGUCGUAGUGCCUUGUCGGUGACCUCGUUGCGUUGGAAAUCAUGUAAUCGCUUGGUCAAGAGUCUCUACUUCUUCCUGAAUUUGCCUUUAUUGGGGUAGCGGAACUCUCGGCUGCCCCCAAUCAUAACUUGCUGGUCUAGGCUGCUCUUCCAUGUGUUUGGCUCGUCUAUGCCGCGGAUGCAGUGCAUGUGGUGCGUUCCUAGUAGGCGAGCGAGUUCUUCGCAGGCUGCUGGUUGAACUUGAGCUGGAUUGAGUGACUUCUUCUCUCUGUCCGUCGUGCUGCCUACUCUGAUGUGAGGUGGAUGACGCUCCUUGUGGGCUUAGCUGCGAAUAGACAUUUUGCCCGAAAGGUUGUUCAUGUUGACUAUCGGAGUAUGACCCUAACCGUGAAUGUAUGCUCCUCCGUGGGCCUAGUCGAGAGUGCAUGCUCCUUCGCGCUCUAAGACGGGAAUGUACACUGCCCAAACGUUCGGCUCGUGGCUGGUCGAGUGGCUGCUUGCCGGGAUGCUGCUGGAAAUGUCCGUCUGCCCUUGUCCUACUUUGGGAUACCUCGUCCGGGGCACGUUGGAUCCCGAUGCGUUGCAAAAGUUGAUUCACCAAGGUUGUCUGUUGUGCAAGGGCGCUCGUCACUCUAUGACUUGUCGAGACAAGUGUUGUUCGCCAUUUGGAUUGGAAGAGCUUGGAAGGAAUGCGCCUCCUUGGGCAGUGGAAGGGUGGUAGACUCCGGGCGCGAGAUUUGAGUUGGGAAAUGUCAAAUCCCUGAAAAAAUAUGGUGAGAAUGCUCCCGGCUCGAUGGUAGGUCCAGAUGGUUGAGAUAGUCUUGGGCCGACUUGGGCUGCUUAGAAAGCCACGGGAGCAGUCUGGGCCUUGAGAGUGGGUUGCUCGACGGGAGCAAGCUGGGCUAUGGGAGUGGGCUGCUCGACGGAAGCAAGCUGGACCACAGGAGUGGGCUACUCGUCGGGAGCAGGCUGGGUCACGAGAGCAUGCUGCUUGGCAGGAGCAGGCUGGGCCGCGAGAGCAGGUUGCUUGGCGGGAGCAAGCUAGGCCUCGAUAGCAGGUUACUUGGCGAGAGCAGGCUGGGCCGUGAGAGCAGGUUGCUUGGCGGGAGCAGGCUGCUUAAUAUGUGAUGCAUGCGAAUGUGAGGCUUGGGCCCGGGCCCGUGCAAACUUGGAUGGCACGACUUGGGCCAUGGUGAAGGCACCAUGGACCUCGCCACGGGUGGCUACCGAGGUAGCCACCGUGGUGGUUCCCAUGGUGGAAACUCGUGGUGGUGGUGCUUCUCCACUUAUUGUCGCAUUUAGCCUCACGGAUCUCCGCAAUCCCAUUUCUUGAACAUUAGAAUUUUCACUUGUGGAAUUUUCUAAAUUUCUAGCCAUUAUAUUUUGCUUAUACGUUUUAUCAAAGAACCUUUGCAAGUAAAAAAUUCUAACAAUAAGAACGUAUGAAAAAUAUUCAAAUGGACUAGAACAUAAAGAAAAAAACCUUUUUGUGCGAGAGUCUUCUACGAGUAUGGAUUUCAACUCUCAAUGAAAGCACCAAUUGUGGAUGCAAAUUUCUUCCUCCUUGAUCUUGGACAAUUUUGCACCUACAAAACAAUUAACACCUUAGGUUAAGGCCAAGAGCCUCACGCGCCCACGAUGAAUGGGGGGGGCUUUGGCCGAAGAACCUCCGAUGCCAAAGUUAGAAUUUAGAGAGAAAGAGUGUUUAGAGAAUUUUGGGAUUUUUGCCAAAGUGUUGGAAUUAGUUUUUGGUGAAAAUAGGAACCUAUUUAUAGGGUUAGGCUUGUCCAUUUUUUGAGAAGAAAAGGCCGGCCUUAAUGGGGAUUUUUAGGUUGAAAUUUUGGUUUAAUUAGCCAAUUUAUUGGCUAAUUAACCCUAAAGGAAUAAAUUGGUGGUUACCAAAUUGAUUAAUUUGCAUAAAUGGGAUAAUAAAGAGGGAAAAUGGAAAAAGGUAAAGAGAAAGGAUGGUGACCGGUUUUGACUAGCUUUAGGGUUGAAUUGGAUGUAUUUUGUGGUUAAUUGGGUGAUAAAUUUGGUGAUUAAUGAAUUAAUUAGGAAUUAAUU